rnacentral:rRNA from 1 species
UACGUAGGGGGCAAGCGUUGUCCGGAUUUACUGGGCGUAAAGGGUGCGUAGGCGGACAUUUAAGUCAGAUGUGAAAUACCCGAGCUUAACUUGGGUGCUGCAUUUGAAACUGGGUGUCUAGAGUGCAGGAGAGGUAAGUGGAAUUCCUAGUGUAGCGGUGAAAUGCGUAGAGAUUAGGAAGAACACCAGUGGCGAAGGCGACUUACUGGACUGUAACUGACGCUGAGGCAUGAAAGCGUGGGGAGCAAACAGG